GAUGAACGCUGACAGAAUGCUUAACACAUGCAAGUCAACUUGAACUUCGGUUUGGGUGGCGGACGGGUGAGUAACGCGUAAAGAACUUGCCUCACAGAUAGGGACAACAUUUGGAAACGAAUGCUAAUACCUGAUAUUAUGAUUAUAUGGCAUCGUAUAAUUAUGAAAGCUAUAUGCGCUGUGAGAGAGCUUUGCGUCCCAUUAGCUAGUUGGAGAGGUAACGGCUCACCAAGGCGAUGAUGGGUAGCCGGCCUGAGAGGGUGAUCGGCCACAAGGGGACUGGGACACGGCCCUUACUCCUACGGGAGGCAGCAGUGGGGAAUAUUGGACAAUGGACCAAGAGUCUGAUCCAGCAAUUCUGUGUGCACGAUGAAGUUUUUCGGAAUGUAAAGUGCUUUCAGUUGGGAAGAAAAAAAUGACGAUACCAACAGAAGAAGUGACGGCUAAAUACGUG
rnacentral:rRNA from 1 species